AUGGCUGGUCCGACCGCAUCUGGGGAUGCGCCACCGACGAUUGUGGCUUUGGCGCCGUCGAGUGCUCUGGCCACGGCGCCGCACCACCGGCCACACUGGCCGAUUAAUUCUCACUUCUGGCGGGGCCGACGACUUCUACAACGUGAGCCUCGUGGUCGACUACAACAUGCCGAUGGUGGUCGCGCCGCCGAACGCAAACUGCGAGCAAACGGGCUACCCCACCGACCUGAACGGGUCAUGCCCGCCGGAGCUCCGAGUCGUCGUGGCCCACGUGAAGGUGGCAUGCUUGGACCUGGAGCGCAUGUGAAACGUUUGGGGUGGAGGCGUACUGCUGCAGCAGCGCCCACGACACGCCGGCGACGUGCGCUCCCACGGCCCCUGUGGCUCUUCAAGGCCACGUGCCCGCGCGACUAUAGCUAUGCCUGUGAGGAUGGGAGUGUCUACAAUGGCGUCCUCGUCCUCUCACAAUAA
rnacentral:rRNA from 1 species